AGCGAACGCUGGCGGCAGGCCUAACACAUGCAAGUCGAACGAAGUCUUCGGACUUAGUGGCGGACGGAUGAGUAACACGUGGGAACGUGCCUUUAGGUUCGGAAUAACUCAGGGAAACUUGUGCUAAUACCGAAUGUGCCCUUCGGGGGAAAGAUUUAUCGCCUUUAGAGCGGCCCGCGUCUGAUUAGCUAGUUGGUGAGGUAAAGGCUCACCAAGGCUACGAUCAGUAGCUGGUCUGAGAGGAUGACCAGCCACAUCGGGACUGAGACACGGCCCAAACUCCUACGGGGGGCAGCAGUGGGGAAUCUUGCGCAAUGGGCGAAAGCCUGACGCAGCCAUGCCGCGUGGAUGAUGAAGGUCUUAGGAUUGUAAAAUCCUUUCACCGGUGAAGAUAAUGACUGUAGCCGGAGAAGAAGCCCCGGCUAACUUCGUGCCAGCCGCCGCUGUAAAAC
rnacentral:rRNA from 1 species